GGUCUUUUGUCACCCAGGCCAGAGUGCAGUGGCUCCAUCUCAGCUCAUUACAGCCUUGACCUCCCAGGCUCAAGUGAUCCUCCUACCUGAACCUCCAGAAUAGCUGAGACUACAGGUGCACACCAUCAUACCUGGCUAAUUUAAUUUUUUUUUUUUUUUUUGAGAUAAGAGUUCUGCCACUUUGCUCAUGCUGGUCUCAGACUCUUUUUUUUUUUUUUUUUUCCUGAGACCGAGUCUUGCUCUGUCACCCAGGCUGGAGUACAGGGGCAUGAUCUUGGCUCACUGCAACCUCCAUCUUCUGGGUUCAAGCCAUUCUCCUGCCUCAGCAUCCCCAGUAGCUGGGGUUACAGGCACGUGCCACCAUGCCCAGCUAAUUUUAGUAUUUUAGUAGAGAUGGGGUUUCACCAUGUUGGCCAGGCUGGUCUCAAACUCCUGACCUCAAGUGAUCCACUCAUCUUGGCCUCCCAAAGUGCUAGGAUUACAGGCAUGAGCUACCACACCCAGCCAGGUCUCAAACUCAAGCUCAAGUGAUCUUCCUGCCUUGGCCUCAAAGGUACUGGGAUUACAGGAAGAGGGAAGUUUGGACACAGACACACACAGACAAGAGAAUACCAUGUGACAAAGGCAGAGAUUGGAAUGAUACAGCUGCAAGCCAGGGAUGCCAAGGAUUGCAGGCCUUCAAUCAUGAGUGACAGAUUAUAAAUCAUCCUUACACUGAAGUGCACCAGAGUCAAAUAAGCAUCAUUUGGCUUUCUCUCUCUUUUAAAAAAAUCUUUAGUUUUUCAUAAUAGUCUUCUAUAUGGAGAUGUUGAAAAUCUUUCAUUUGUUUUAUUCCUAGAUAUUUGAUUGAAAAAACAAACAGAGGUGAGGUUGCCCGGGCUGGAGUGCAGUGGCCAUCCUCAGGCACGCUUAUACUGCAUUACAGCCUUGAACUCCUGGCGUUAAGUGAUCCUCCUACCUCAGCCUCCCGAGUAGCUGGGACUACAGGUGUCCACCACCACGCCUGGCUAAUUUUUUGUAUUUUUAGUAGAGACGGGGUUUGACUGUGUUAGCCAGGAUGGUUUCGAUCUCCUGACCUCAUGAUCUGCCCGCCUUGGCCUCCCAAAGCGCUGGGAUUAUAGGCAUGAGCCACCACGCCCAGCCAGAUGUUAUAUUUAAACAUUUCAGUUUACAAUUAUUUUUGUUACUGGUAUAUAGAACAUACAAUUGGUUUAUGUGUGUUGAUUUGAAUUCAGUGACCUAGAUAAAAUUCCAAAACUUGAUCUGAAGGUUCUUUAGGAUUUGCUAUGUACAUAAAUGACAGCUUUCUUUCUUUUUUUAUCCUUAUUUCUGUUAUUUCUUUUUCUUGCCUUAUUGCAUUGGCUAAGGUAUCCAUUCAAGGUCAAAUAGAAGUGGUAGCAGGCAAACUUAGCAAGUUUCCAGUUUCAGAGGAAAGCUUUUAGCAUUUCAUCAUUAAGUUGAUACUUGCUGAGGUAUUUUUGUAGAUAACCUGUAUCAAUUAGCUUUUGUUGGAUAACAAAAGAACCACAAAGCCAGUGAUAUAUAACAAUAGAUACUUAUGUCUUACACAUAUGUGGCAAUCAGGUGAUCUGGGCUAUGCUUAGCUAGAUCACUCUGCUGGUCUUGGCUGAGCUCAUGCAUGCAUCUGCAGCUCAGCUAGGAGCUCUGUUCUCAGCUAGGCUUGACUGAGUACCUUAGCUGGAGAACUCAUGUUCUACGCAUUUCAUAUCUUCUUCCUGGAACCAGAAGGAGCAGCUUAGGCAGGUUCUUUUCAUGGUAAAGAGUAGAAGAACAAAAAAGCAAACCCCAGUAGGCAAGCUCAUUUCAAAUUUUUACUUGCAUCACAUAUGCCAAUAUCCCACUGGCCAAAGCAAGUCAUAUGCCUGAGUCCAGAGUCAAGGGUAACUUUGCCCAUGAUUGAGGGCAUUGCAAAAUUAUAUAGCAAAAGGUGUGAAACAGGAGGGGCAAAGAAGUGCAAUCUACUAUAUGUUAUUUUAUAUCUUAUUUCCAGAAUAAGAACAAUUGCUCCCAUUUCUAGUUUGCUAAGGAUUUUUAUCAUCAGUGGAUAUUAAAUUUUAUCAAAUAUUUCUUUUUUUUUUUUUUUAAGACAGAGUCUCGCUCUGUCGCCCAGGCUGGAGUGCAACAGCAUGAUCUUGGCUCACUGCAACCUCCGUCUCCCAGGUUCAAGCCAUUCUCCUGCCUCAGGCUCCUGAGUAGCUGGGACUACAAGCCCCAGCCAUCACACCCGGCUAAUUUUUGUAUUUUUUUUUUUUUAGUAGAGGCAGGCUUUCACCAUGUUGGCCAGGUUGGUCUUGAACUCCUGACCUCAAGUGAUCCGCCCACCUCGGCCUCCCAAACUGCUAGGAUUACAGGAGUAAGCCACUGUGCCUGGCCCAAAUAUUUUUUUAAUCUAUUGAGGUGAUCAUAUUUUUCUCCUUUGUACUAUUAAUAUGACACAUUACAUAGAUUGAUUUUGAAUUAUUAAAGUAACCUUGCUGUGGUGGGCAGCCUGUGGGGUGAUCUGUGAUCCCUGACUCCUGCUGUUGACACCCUGUCUAAUCCUUACUUUUGAGUGGGGGCUGGAUCUAGUGACUUGCUUCUAAUGAAUAGAAAAUGGCCAUGGUGAUAUGAAAAGUCAUUGCUGAGGUUAGGUUACAAAGAUUUAAACUUCAAUCUUUCUCAGCCCUUCCUCCAGGGAAAGCAAGCUGCCAUGUUGUGAAGGCUGCUUUGGAGAGGCCCAAAUAGCAAGGAACUGUCUCUGUCCAACAGCCAAUGGGACCUGAGACCAAUAAAUACACAUGACUGAGUUUGGAAGUGGAUCCUUCCCUAGUCAAGCCUGGGGCAUUAAAUGAAUUUAUAAAUGGAGGUAAAACAUGUAGAACAAUUGUGGCACCUAGUAAAAGCUUAAUACAAUUUAGCAACACUACCUCUGAGUUUGCCUUUUCAUAUUUGUUAAAUGGGGAUAAUAUGAUCUAUUCCAUUGGAUUGUUGUAAACAUGAAAUAAAAUAAUGUAUUAGUAAGCACUUAAUGAAUAAUCACUACUGUUUAUCUUAACUGCCUAAACUGCUGUUUAGAUGAAAAGUGUUUUUGUUUGUUUGUUUUUAAGACAGGUUCUCACUCUGUCACCCAGGCUGGAGUGCAGUGGUGUGAUAACAGCUCACUGCAGCCUUGACCUCCCAGGCUCUAGUGAUCCUCCCACCUCAGCCUCAACUAGGACUACAGAGGCAUGACACCAUGCCCAGCAACUGGGUCUCACUAAGUUGCUCAAACUGGUCUCAAGUGAUCCUCCCACCUCAUCCUUCCAAAGUGGUAAAAUUACAGGCACGAGCCACCAUACCUGGCAAGAAGAAAGCUUUUUAAAAAUAGGAAUUGCAUUUUGGGCUGGGUACAGUGGUUCAUGCUUAUAAUCCCAGUGCUUUGGGAGGCCGAGGCAAGAGGAUCACUUGAGGUCAGGAGUUUGAGACCAGCCUAGGUGACAGAAGGAAACACUGUCCCUUGAAAAAAUUUUAAAAAGAAAUUGCAUUUUAUCGACCUUUGAAUUCUCUAACAUAACAAAAAUAGAUGUUCAAUUAAUGGUUUGGAAUUGACACAUUCAAUCUGUCUUUAUAUAUGUGAAACAAAAAAACAAGCUUCAUAGACUUGGACAAGUUGGAAAUGUAACCUCUGUUUCUUCAUCUAUUAA
rnacentral:lncRNA from 1 species